GUUAACGUCAUGUGUAGAUGCACCCACUAACAUCUUGCAGCAGUUUCACCCUGCUUCUAUUCCUCAAGGCUUCUAUUCUAGUGAAUAAAGAUGAGCUUCCCUGCGUAAGACAUGUGCCCAAUUUUGGAGGACUAAUUUGGGAAGAAAGGUGCAUUUGGUCACAUCUGGAAGCUUCAAGUAAGAUUGGGUAAUGCACCGUAUAAAUGCAUUCUGAGAAACCCUGCAAUAAAGAAUUCAGAAGUUGGUCUUCACCCAUAACAGGAUAGUUGACUGAUUCCUGGGAGGGCUCCCCUCCGGGAAAAAGUAGUACAAUGGCAAUGGCUACAAGUCAAGCAUCAGAGAAAUGCUGUCAUCUUUCAACCUCCACUGAAAAGGUCCAUUAUCACCAGCCUCUCCAUACAAGAAGUAAAAGGUAAAUCACAAUGAAGUAAUUUAUCAGCGUGGGAAGAAUCCCACUGAGAAUUGACUUAUAAAAUGAAAACUGAAGACUACUUUGACUACAGCUACUCUUCUGUACUUAAAUUGUCCUUCUUGCAUCAUUUAUUCUGAACACAUUUUCAAGGCAGAUGGAAACUAACUGAUGAGUAGGUCUAUGAGUAUCAAGAGGGUAGACGGAUUGACAUUUUAAAGGUAAACAUCAAGACUUUUCAUCCGGAAGAUGCAAUGGCUGCUACAGAUGCUGAUAUAACUUCUGACAGAUAGUGACAAGUGGUAAGUAAUGUCAGUUCAAGAUGAGAAGCUACAAUGCAGUGAAAAGCGAUCCACUGAACGUGAAUCCCGGAGCACCGAGACUGUACCCAAGAGCCCUGAUCUUCCUAUUUGGAUGAUGACUGACCUAAAUGCCACAAAUGAUGCUAUAUGAUCAAACUGAUAAUAAACAUUAAACAAAAGAGUUGCUUCAUAAGUUAUAGGAGCUGAUUUAAACUCCAGGUAGCUAGUAACAGCCCCCAAGAAACUAUCUACUACCUGGAGAAAACUGGAGUGCAUUAUACUCCAGCCAACUAUCAAACAUAAACUCUUCUACAUCAGAACUACUUGGUGGGAUAGGAAUAGUGUAGGAGCUGCUUUUGUUGGCUGUAUGCCUGCUAGAGAGUCACCACACCUGGGGAAUAUCCAAUUAAAGAACUGUGGACAGCCUGUGCUCUCUUUUUUACCAGCAGAGAAGAGAAGCCAGGUUCUAUAUUAGUAAGAAGGACACUUUAAUUUUGUAGUUUGGUUCCAUUAUGUCUAUUUCAGUACCACAAGUAUGACAACUUUCUUUGACAAGUUCAAGAAUAGGUAUCUGGUUAGUGUAACCUUGAAUAAGACAUGUAACAUCAACUGCUGCAUUGAUCUUCCACCACUAUCAGCUGAUUAACCAGCCAAAACUUUGGUUUGAAAUAAGCCCCCCAAAUUUCCAAAUGUUUGACCCAUAUCUAAAUAGAAUAGUUUACAUUCGUGGUACUUCCAUGCCAGGCAAAUCCAAGAAGUUCAGAGAUUCAGAGAAGUAAAACAAAAUCAAAACAAAGGAAACUGCACUCUCAUGAGUUAUUUGAAAAAGAGUCUAGAUUUUGUCCAGUUUCAAAGCUCAAAUCAGUUCUUAAUUUAUAAGCAUUAUUUUCUCCAUGCCAAUAAAUACAUAAACAUA